GACAGAGGGUGCAAACGUUGUUCGGAAUGACUGGGCGUAAAGCGCGUGUAGGCGGCUCGGCAAGUCGGAUGUGAAAGCCCUGGGCUCAACCCAGGAAGUGCACUCGAAACUGCCGAGCUGGAGUCCCGGAGAGGAAGGCGGAAUUCUCGGUGUAGAGGUGAAAUUCGUAGAUAUCGAGAGGAACACCGGUGGCGAAGGCGCCUUCUGGACGGCGACUGGACGCUGAGACGCGAAAGCGUGGGGAGCAAACAGGG
rnacentral:rRNA from 1 species